GCAAGUCGAAUGGGUUUAGACCCAUGGCAGACGAGGUAGGAACACGUAGGUACGUACCCCAAAGUCACGGAUAACCCGGUGAAAAUCGGAAUAAUACGUGAUGGUCCUUUCGAGGUAAAGAUUUAUCGCUUUGGGAACGGCCUGCGGGCUAUCAGCUUGUUGGUAAGGUAACGGCUUACCAAGGCUACGACGGCUAGGGGAGGUGAGAGCCUGACC
rnacentral:rRNA from 1 species